AAUCUGCCCUGCACUCUGGGACAAGCCCUGGAAACGGGGUCUAAUACCGGAUACUGAUCCUCGCAGGCAUCUGCGAGGUUCGAAAGCUCCGGCGGUGCAGGAUGAGCCCGCGGCCUAUCAGCUAGUUGGUGAGGUAACGGCUCACCAAGGCGACGACGGGUAGCCGGCCUGAGAGGGCGACCGGCCACACUGGGACUGAGACACGGCCCAGACUCCUACGGGAGGCAGCAGUGGGGAAUAUUGCACAAUGGGCGAAAGCCUGAUGCAGCGACGCCGCGUGAGGGAUGACGGCCUUCGGGUUGUAAACCUCUUUCAGCAGGGAAGAAGCGAAAGUGACGGUACCUGCAGAAGAAGCGCCGGCUAACUACGUGCCAGCAGCCGCGGUAAUACGUAGGGCGCAAGCGUUGUCCGGAAUUAUUGGGCGUAAAGAGCUCGUAGGCGGCUUGUCACGUCGGUUGUGAAAGCCCGGGGCUUAACCCCGGGUCUGCAGUCGAUACGGGCAGGCUAGAGUUCGGUAGGGGAGAUCGGAAUUCCUGGUGUAGCGGUGAAAUGCGCAGAUAUCAGGAGGAACACCGGUGGCGAAGGCGGAUCUCUGGGCCGAUACUGACGCUGAGGAGCGAAAGCGUGGGGAGCGAACAGGAUUAGAUACCCUGGUAGUCCACGCCGUAAACGGUGGGCACUAGGUGUGGGCAACAUUCCACGUUGUCCGUGCCGCAGCUAACGCAUUAAGUGCCCCGCCUGGGGAGUACGGCCGCAAGGCUAAAACUCAAAGGAAUUGACGGGGGCCCGCACAAGCGGCGGAGCAUGUGGCUUAAUUCGACGCAACGCGAAGAACCUUACCAAGGCUUGACAUACACCGGAAAACCCUGGAGACAGGGUCCCCCUUGUGGUCGGUGUACAGGUGGUGCAUGGCUGUUCGUCAGCUCGUGUCGUGAGAUGUUGGGUUAAGUCCCGCAACGAGCGCAACCCUUGUCCCGUGUUGCCAGCAGGCCCUUGUGGUGCUGGGGACUCACGGGAGACCGCCGGGGUCAACUCGGAGGAAGGUGGGGACGACGUCAAGUCAUCAUGCCCCUUAUGUCUUGGGCUGCACACGUGCUACAAUGGCCGGUACAAUGAGCUGCGAUACCGCGAGGUGGAGCGAAUCUCAAAAAGCCGGUCUCAGUUCGGAUUGGGGUCUGCAACUCGACCCCAUGAAGUCGGAGUCGCUAGUAAUCGCAGAUCAGCAUUGCUGCGGUGAAUACGUUCCCGGGCCUUGUACACACCGCCCGUCACGUC
rnacentral:rRNA from 1 species